rnacentral:rRNA from 1 species
UACGUAGGGUGCAAGCGUUGUCCGGAAUUAUUGGGCGUAAAGAGCUCGUAGGCGGUCUGUCGCGUCUGCUGUGAAAACUCAGGGCUUAACCCUGAGCUUGCAGUGGGUACGGGCAGACUAGAGUGCGGUAGGGGAGACUGGAAUUCCUGGUGUAGCGGUGAAAUGCGCAGAUAUCAGGAGGAACACCGGUGGCGAAGGCGGGUCUCUGGGCCGAUACUGACGCUCAUGUGCGAAAGCGUGGGGAGCAAACAGG